rnacentral:rRNA from 1 species
UACGAAGGGGGCUAGCGUUGCUCGGAAUCACUGGGCGUAAAGCGCACGUAGGCGGCUUGUUAAGUCAGGGGUGAAAUCCUGGAGCUCAACUCCAGAACUGCCUUUGAUACUGGGGAUCUCGAGUCCGGGAGAGGUGAGUGGAACUGCGAGUGUAGAGGUGAAAUUCGUAGAUAUUCGCAAGAACACCAGUGGCGAAGGCGGCUCACUGGCCCGGUACUGACGCUGAGGUGCGAAAGCGUGGGGAGCAAACAGG